CCAGACGGCUGGGCGAUCGCGGCUGCCUUCGGGCGGUCGAGGAAAGUCCGGGCUCCACGACGACAUGGCGGCGGGUAACGCCCGCCGGGGGCGACCCCAGGGAUAGCGCCACAGAGAGCAGACCGCCUCGGCUGCGGCCGAGGUAAGGGUGAAAGGGUGGGGUAAGAGCCCACCGCGGACCUGGUGACAGGGACGGCACGGCAAGCCCCGCCAGGAGCAAGACCGAAUAGGGACGUUGCGCCCGCCUUGUGCGGGUAGGGCUGUCGUAGGCCCGAGACGUCCGGGUAGGUCGCGAGAACCGUCCAGCAAUGGGCGGUCCAGAGGAAUGAUCGCCGCGUCUGUUCGCAGACGAGACAGAACCCGGCUUAUAGGCCGUCUGGUCCA
rnacentral:RNase_P_RNA from 2 species